GACCCUAAACGUAAGAGAACGAAC
rnacentral:siRNA from 1 species